rnacentral:rRNA from 1 species
AUACGUAGGUGGCGAGCGUUGUCCGGAAUUACUGGGCGUAAAGGAUGCGUAGGUGGAUACUUAAGUGGGAUGUGAAAUCCCCGGGCUCAACCCGGGAACUGCAUUCCAAACUGGGUAUCUAGAGUGCAGGAGAGGAAAGCGGAAUUCCUAGUGUAGCGGUGAAAUGCGUAGAUAUUAGGAGGAACACCAGUGGCGAAGGCGGCUUUCUGGACGGAAACUGACACUGAGGCAUGAAAGCGUGGGUAGCAAACGGGAUUAGAUACCCUGGUAGUCCACGCCGUAAACGAUGGGUACUAGGUGUAGGAGGUAUCGACCCCUUCUGUGCCGUCGUUAACACAAUAAGUACCCCGCCUGGGGAGUACGGUCGCAAGACUAAAACUCAAAGGAAUUGACGGGG